rnacentral:rRNA from 1 species
AACUUUUAACAAUGGAUCUCUUGGUUCUCGUAACGAUGAAAAACGCAAUAAAAUAUGUGAAUCAUCAAAUUUUCGAGUGCAUAUUGCACCUUUUUAGUUUCUAAAAAAAUAUGUCUCUUUGAAUCUUU